AUAUAUACAUAUAUAUAUAUAUAUGAGUUUUGUUAAAUAUAUACAUUUUUUACAGCAUUCAGCAUUGCGCACAAGAUGUUUCCUCCUUUGCUUAAAUUAAUUAAUGGUUUGAGAACGCCAGCAAAUAAUUCAACAGUGUUUUAGCUUUUUGUCGAUGUUGCGCUGCACUGGUCGAGCGUGCGUGUGUUUUUCAUUAACCAAAAGUACAGUUAUGGUGGCCGGGUAUCCUGUCGCUAUACGACCAAUAAACCAUUUGCGGCACAACAAGUGGAUAUUUUUAAAGGUGGCGCACUGGGGGUUGCGUGCAUCUUACUUUCAUUUCAGUUUCCUUUGACUAGGAUGCUGCGUUUCCUUUCGCAUUGCAACAGUUUUCUGCGAACGGAAAGCAUCUAUUGUGUUUCCAUUUGUAGAAAUGAGCAAGGGGGCGAAGGGCCCGGUCAACGUUUGUUAAUUAUUAAUGAGCAAUAACUACCAUCACACUUUCUAUAAAUUCUUAACCAAGACAUCUGGUAUUUUCUUCAUUGUCUUCGAAGAGCCGCAGAAGCCAGCGAGACAACUGGAUUGCAGUGGACUAACAGAGAGUCAACUUUUCUGCGGAAGUCACUUAUUUAGUGAUAAGGAGUAAAAGUGAAUAAUUUCACACCCAACUGGACAUGGAGUGACGUGUUAUGAACUUUUUUUUUUUUUAAGUAUGCUAUAACUUCUGUAAAUUCCCCCGAGUGUGGAGCAUAUGUGAGUAUGUCAAAUGUGCAUUAUUAAACAUUAUUAAUACACGUAUGUCUAUCUUUUCUAGUCUGUUUAUAUAAUGCAUAUGUGAAAACAUUUAUUGACGGUUUUAUUUUCAUUGAUAUAUAUGUAUUUGUUAUUUUAAAUGGUGAUUUUAAAGUUAAUCCAUUGAUUUAAAACUCUGUAAAAAAAAGUGGACCUUUAUAUUAAAAUAUAUAAAAAGAG